ensembl:snoRNA small nucleolar RNA, H/ACA box 68
CAAGCACCUAAACCCAAGAACUGCUGUUUCUUGUAGCAGUGGUUUAAACAGAGGUGCUAACAGCAAAUGUUACCUCGUCGCCUUUGUGGGGCUGCAGCCGUGCCCCUCAAAGUGAAUUUGGAGGUUCUACACAC